UGGUGCCAGGGCAAUGAAACUAGUUCUACAAGCUAGCAUCAAGUCAGUUUCAGCAUGCCCCACAAGUCGGAUCCCACCUUCAGAGCCCACUUUCGUCAUCGUCUUCCUCCAGCGAUCGGCACUUGGACAUCACCUUCCUCCGAUAGUUGCAAGUGCCCCAGUUUUCUCUGUUGACUCUCCUCGACUGUUAUCGGCUCCGUCAAGCAAUCACACCACCUCCAGCAAGUAUCAUGUGCAUCAAAUUAUCUCCAGUAUGUAUCACCUGCACUAAGUUAGAUAAUUUGCACAGUUCCUCUAUAUGGCAUUGAUAAAUUCGUUACUGAUCAUGGAUCAAUGAAUUGGGUUGCUUACCAUGAUAAAACCAAUUGAUGAAGUACAGAAGAACAAACGGACAGGCAGAUAGCAAACUUCAAACAU
rnacentral:lncRNA from 1 species